UGUGCGCAGGACAGGGAGCCACACAGUGCUUUAAUCAAUGAAUCACCUACUCUGAGUGUUAGUUAGGCACAAAUCAUUAAUGGUCUAAAAGGGCUGGAAUAAGUAAGCCCAGCUCCAUUUUCAUGGAAGUACAGAUUGUGUCUUUUUCAGGAGGCACGGGAAACCCUUCUUAAGUUUAAAAACAAACUUCUCAACUUUGGCUUCUGAGUAAUGCCACUGAUUUCAUUUUCCAAAGGUCACAGGGGAACUCUCUUCUGCUAUUUCCAAAGAGCAUGACAAAUGUUACUCUAACAAAGAGACAAAUUGUUCAAUGCAAAUCUACUCAGCAAUUACCUUGCCAUAAAGGUAUUUACAGCAGGUACACUAAGAUAAACCAGUUUAUUUCUUACUGUUUUUCUAAGAAAAAAAGAAAAGAAAAGAAAAGAAAAGAAAAGAAAAGAGAAGAGAAAAGAAGAGAAAAAAGAAAAGAGAAAAGCUCUAGUCAUUUUGUGGGCUGCUCGCAAUGUGCUUGACUCACCCAUGCACGCAGGGCAACGCAGCCCUUCCUCCUGAAGAGCUCCUGAUCUCAGUCCCAGGGCAUCUGUGUAUCUGAGAUGGGAGCAGCCUUUAGUGGCACAGCRUCUCACGCUGAUGUAAGUCAAGGCUUUCAUGGUCCUUUUCCCUGCUUUGAGCCAGCACUAGCAUUGGUGUGGCUGGAAAGUGAGUCAGUUUGGGAAGCUGAGCUGGCAGCAUAGUAAUAUUAUGAGAAAAAAGUAAUUAAUUCCCUAUUUGCUUGCCUUCUAGAGGUCAAGCAACAAUGCCAGCUGAGGGGACGUGCAGCCAGGGCUAAGGAGAAGAUGGGAUCUUGACCUUCUUGAUUCAGAUGUGCUCUGUCUCUCCAGCAGUGAGGAAGAAUAUCAAAGGGGAGGAUAUAGCCUGCAAAUCUUCUGUCUUAAUCGAAAUGGAGACCUUUCCACAGCCCACACCUCUGAAUCAAAGGGAGCAAAUUCAUCCCCUUCCUCCCUGUUGUCAGGCUGUUGGGAAGUAGUUGGGAUAGCCCUUAUCAAAGGAAAUGCAGCCCUUUCCUUAAGCUUGUGUGUCAGUGUUGUUGUGUAAACACAGAUCAAUAAGGUGACACAAAUCCUAUCCUAUUACCAGUAUUCAGCAGCAAAUGAAGUACCCUUAAGCUUAGCAUAUUAUCAUUUCAUGCAUUUAACAAUUAAAGACUUAGAUAGGAUUAAUUACUUUUAAGGUGAGUCUUUAUAAUUGCCUCCUUAUAAUGGAGUCUGCAACCAGGCAGCAUGGCUUUAUGUCACUAGCAGAAAUCAAAGACAAUUUCUCAAAUGGAUAGAAAAUGUUUAUUUAACAGGCCUUAUGUUUCUUCUCUUAAGUUUCCCUUAAGAGAAAAAUAACUCCUGAGGAAAGAGCACGUCAAGCACUAAUACAUGAACUUGAUAAAGAACUGCCUACAGCUGGGGUUUUCACUCUAUUUUUGUUGCUCCGCGUAUGAGUAUUUUCAGCAUCGUGUUGUUUCUUUUCACAAAGCCCCUGAACAGAUCAAAUGAAGCAAUACCACAACAGAAAACUGCUGAUAGGAAUCACAGCCAUAAGUGCUGGAUGGAGUUACUAGAUCCCAAAGCCCAUUUCUGACACCUCUUUUUCAUACAAAAUGCUGAGGGAAGGGAGAGGAAGGGAGUCUUUGGAUUCCACCACAAAACAUGUCAGCUGCCUAUUUACUUAUUUGCUGCUCUGCAUUAUGACCGGCUGGCUGAAAGAGAACAGCUGGGUCCAUCAAAAGUGCUGGACCUUCAAAUGAUGGAGGGACUACAAAGGAAAACUCAGCAUGCCACAAGGAACAGAGUACAAAAGGAGUUGGACAGAGUUUCCCUAGAGGAGAUGACACUAAGAAAGAGCCUCGUGACUUCUGUUCAGGCAAAGCACUGAGUUUAGUAUGCAAAGAAGUGGGUAGGUUGUUCAGUUUGCUACCACCCAUAUACCUCAACUACAACUCGACCAGAAUGGCUAGAUGAAUUUAUAGUCAUGCCUGGCCUUGCCAUAUAUGGACCUGGAAAUAUCUCUUGUAGAAGUAAGUGCUAAUUUGUCCCACAUGGCACAGUCAUUUUUGUUUUUCUUUCCUAAGGCAGUGUACAGGGAAGUUUAUUAGUACUAACUCCACUCCACUGUAACACCACUCACAGUGCUUGGGUGAUAAAGCACAAGCCAUAAAAAGCCAUUAGUUAGGUCCUCUAGAAACAACAACAAAAAGCAAAGAUUUCAAGGAGGGUUGUUUUCGAUGGGUGGCCUGUUUCUGAUUUUUGAGGCUUCCUACUGCCUACAUUUUUCUCAGUCCUGUGAACUAGAAAUUUGUGCUUUUAUUCUUGGUAUUAACUCUCAAGGCCUUUAGAUAUUGCUCUGACUCCAAGAAGCCAGGCUUCCUGCAAAACAUAUCACAAGAUCUGUGGYAGAAGCCCUAUUUAAGUUACUGAAUUCUAAUGCAAAAAAAACCCCCAGGAGUUAGGUGGGAAGCGUGCAACUCCCACGCAAUCCUUUCCCAUUUUGCAAUGAGCUCUCAUUUGCUCCCUGGUUACAAGAUCACGAAGCAGUUGUCUUCUCAUUUCUGAAAUAUCRGCAAACCCUCCUCUGCAAAACUGAAAAUGUUUUGAAUACUAAAAUGAAGRAUGAGAUUUUUCAAGCCUGCCUGGGGGAGCAGAAUGACUCGUUCCCACUACAAUGAAAAGGGAAUGGAUCUCUGCAUCUUCUGGACAAUUGUGCAUGGGACAUUGGGGCUGGUAUUUUACAGUCUGUCACUUGCCAAGAAGUGACAGCAGUGCAGGACCUUUGCUGUGCAUGUUGGCCAUGUACAACUGUGUUUUAAAAACACGGCUCCUGAGCUGAUCUUCUGUGAGUGUCUGACUGCAGCUUGUUCAGAUGUAGUUCAGACCUUAGUCCGCAGCUCUAUCUGAGAAGGGUCUGUAAGAUUGAUCCAUAAUAGGACUUUGUAAUGCAUUGGCAGCAUUGUUUUACUGCAGGUUUUAUUGCACACGGAGAGUACUUAGGUGGCUUCCCAUCGCAGGAGGUGUUUAUCUCUUGGGUAAGGAUUAGUACAGUUCUGUACCACAAAGUCUGGUAUAGCUGAGUAAGUGGUUUAGAGUAAUCCUCCUGAGAAGGAYUGCUGUCCUGAAGGGACUCCUGAGAAGGCUCUCUGGUUGUACCAGGCUUUCAGAUGACUUUCAAGCAGUUUUCUUUCAUUUGGAGAUUGUGCAGCUUUUCUGUGAUGAGGGAGAGACUUUUCUCCAAGACAUCUGGUCAGUGUUUUGAGUUAUCAUAGAGCUCAAAGACAGUAUUUACUGUGUCAAGAAGAUGCCACUGGRUCAUCAGAAGAUGAUAAAAGUAUGACUCUUGCAAGUGGGCUCUCCAGUAUAGACAGGGUCCUGCCUGGACAACUCUGGGUUCUGCUUAUCUGUCUCAUGCAGAUUUGAUUCUCAACAUACUCUUGUUUUGCAUUAAGGCACCUUCAGAAUUGCAAAUGAAGUUAAGCACCACRCCAGAGGUGCUUUGCAGUAACAGGGUAGGCAUGCCUUCAAUGCAGUGCCCAGUCACGUGGAAAUCUGUUUUCUAGCGUUUGGAAUAAARGGCAAACAGGAGCUCCUUAAGCUCA
rnacentral:lncRNA from 1 species